GUGGUAUGUUAUGUAAAAUAUACAAAUUAUUAUUGGGAAUAACCACGUCUCAGCAGUGCUAGUUCUCAGUUUGGAGAAUGGGAAAUCGAAAGGAUCAGAUUCAGAGACGGCAACUUACUCAAGGUCACAGCAUUUUAAACCCAAAUGAAAUCUCCUAGGCCCUUCAUGCCACACUCAUCCAUCCCUACCUACUUGUGUUGCAACCAAGGGCCCCACUGUAGUGCCU
rnacentral:lncRNA from 1 species